rnacentral:rRNA from 1 species
UACGUAGGGUGCGAGCGUUUGUCCGGAAUUAUUGGGCGUAAAGAGCUCGUAGGCGGUUUGUCGCGUCUGCUGUGAAAACGCGGGGCUCAACUCCGCGCCUGCAGUGGGUACGGGCAGACUAGAGUGCAGUAGGGGAGACUGGAAUUCCUGGUGUAGCGGUGGAAUGCGCAGAUAUCAGGAGGAACACCGGUGGCGAAGGCGGGUCUCUGGGCUGUAACUGACGCUGAGGAGCGAAAGCGUGGGUAGCGAACAGG